UGGGGAAUCUUGCGCAAUGGGCGAAAGCCUGACGCAGCGACGCCGCGUGCGGGAUGAAGGCCUUCGGGUUGUAAACCGCUUUCAGCAGGGACGAAAUUGACGGUACCUGCAGAAGAAGCCCCGGCCAACUACGUGCCAGCAGCCGCGGUAAUACGUAGGGGGCGAGCGUUGUCCGGAAUUAUUGGGCGUAAAGAGCUCGUAGGCGGUUCGGCAAGUCACGUGUGAAAUCUCCACGCUCAACGUGGAGGCGUCACGUGAGACUGCUGUGACUCGAGUCCGGUAGGGGAGCGUGGAAUUCCCGGUGUAGCGGUGAAAUGCGCAGAGAUCGGGAGGAACACCCGUAGCGAAGGCGGCGCUCUGGGCCGGUACUGACGCUGAGGAGCGAAAGCGUGGGGAGCAAACA
rnacentral:rRNA from 1 species